rnacentral:rRNA from 2 species
AUCUGGGCGGCGGAAUUCAGAAUAGUCGGGCGGGCCUCGCGCUCGUCGGGCUGUUUGAUAUUUCCGUCGCCGUGUCAGACGUCGCGACCUGUUUGUCGUCGGUCCUUGCUCGGAGGAGUCGCGAUCGAGUUCGUUGCGAGGCGCGUUUCGGCGUGUCUGGCGGCGAAGAUGCGGUCUUUCCGGCCGACGACGGACAGUAAGCAACGGUGUCGGACGCGGUGUCUCGUACUCAGCGUCCGGGCCGGUCGGCGACGAUUUCUUCGGGCCUCUGUCCGACCCGUCUUGAAACACGGACCAAGGAGUCUAACAUGCGCGCGAGUCGCGGGGUUUCGAGCGUGCCACGGUGCGCUCGUUACUUGCGAAACCCGUACGUUGAAGGCGUAAUGAAAGUGAACAGGGAAGAUGGCGUUCCGAGUCGACGUACCGUGAUCGAGUAUCGCGGCCGGACGUCCGCACUCCCGGGGCGUCUCAAUGGUUCGUCGCGGAUGCGGACGGUCUCCCUCGCGGGGGUGGCCGUCGGUCUGCGACGGUCCGA